rnacentral:rRNA from 1 species
AGUGAACGCUGGCGGUGUGCCUAACACAUGCAAGUCGAACGGCCGCACAGUAAGCGCUUGCCCUUACGGUUGGCGAGUGGCGGAUGAGUAAGGAGUAGAUCGGAUUCUAAUUUUUCGGGGAGAAUAACGUAGGAAAGGUUACAAUAAUGCCUGAUACUUCCUACCGGUGAGAGCAGGGGAUCUUGGCGCUUUGGCCGUUAGAAUUAGAUGAUGUCGCAUUAGCUAGUUGGCGUGGUAAGGGCCCACCAAGGCGACGCUCCGUAGCCGGUCUGAGAGGAUGAUCAGCCACACUGGAACUGAGACACGGUCCAGACUCCUACGGGAGGCAGCAGUGGGGAAUAUUGGACAAUGGGCGCAAGCCUGAUCCAGCCACACCGCGUGGGUGAAGAAGGCCUUCGGGUUGUAAAGCCCUUUUGUUGGGAAAGAAAAGCAGCAGGUUAAUCUCCCGAUGUUCUGACGGUACCCAAAGAAUAAGCACCGGCUAACUUCGUG